rnacentral:rRNA from 1 species
GUUGAUCCUGCCAGUAUUAUAUGCUGAUGUUAAAGAUUAAGCCAUGCAUGUGUAAGUUUAAAGACCAAGUAGGAUGAAACUGCGGACGGCUCAUUAUAACAGUAAUAGUUUCUUUGGUUAGUACGUACAAGGAUAACUUUGUGAAUGAUAAAGCUAAUACUUGAGACGUUCGGCGGAGUAUUAUACUUCGCUGCCGCUCUACGCAAGUGGAGCGAGAAAUGACAUUCUUCUGUGAGAAAGGAUACCACGACAAUUGCAGAAAGCAACGCUUUUUACAAGUAACCAAUGGGAAUUUCUGAUCUAUCAUAUUUGUUGGUAGUAUCGAGGACUACCAAGAUUAUAACGGAUAACGAGGAAUUGGGGUUCGACAUCGGAGAGGGAGCUUUACAGAUGGCUACCACUUCUAAGGAAGGCAGCAGGCGCGUAAAUUACCCACUUUCGACCCGAAGAGGUAGUGACGACAAAUAACUCUUGGCGCCCCUCGGGGUGACUUGAAGGAAUGAUUUAGAAGUAAAUUCUCUAAAGAAAUCAAUUGGAGGGCAAGUCUGGUGCCAGCAGCCGCGGUAAUUCCAGCUCCAAUAGUG